rnacentral:rRNA from 1 species
AAGAGAUCGGGAUAACACCUGGAAACAGAUGCUAAUACCGGAUAACAACAGAUGAUGCCUAUCAACUGUUUAAAAGAUGGUUCUGCUAUCACUCUUGGAUGGACCUGCGGUGCAUUAGCUAGUUGGUAGGGUAACGGCCUACCAAGGCGAUGAUGCAUAGCCGAGUUGAGAGACUGAUCGGCCACAUUGGGACUGAGACACGGCCCAACUCCUACGGGAGGCAGCAGUA